rnacentral:rRNA from 1 species
UGGGAAUUUUGGACAAUGGGCGCAAGCCUGAUCCAGCCAUGCCGCGUGCGGGAAGAAGGCCUUCGGGUUGUAAACCGCUUUUGUCAAGGAAGAAAUCUUCUGAGUUAAUACCUCGGGGAGGAUGACGGUACCUGAAGAAUAAGCACCGGCUAACUACGUGCCAGCAGCCGCGGUAAUACGUAGGGUGCAAGCGUUAAUCGGAAUUACUGGGCGUAAAGCGUGCGCAGGCGGUUUUGUAAGACAGAGGUGAAAUCCCCGGGCUCAACCUGGGAACUGCCUUUGUGACUGCAAGGCUUGAGUGCGGCAGAGGGGGGAUGGAAUUCCGCGUGUAGCAGUGAAAUGCGUAGAUAUGCGGAGGAACACCGAUGGCGAAGGCAAUCCCCUGGGCCUGCACUGACGCUCAUGCACGAAAGCGUGGGGAGCAAAACAGGAUUAGAUGCCCUGGUAGUCCACGCCCUAAAACCGAUGUCAACUGGUUGUUGGGAAGGUUCCUUCUCAGUAACGUAGCUAACGCGUGAAGUUGACCGCCUGGGGAGUACGGCCGCAAGGUU